AGAUGAGCAAGGCCUAUGAGCCGAGAAACCAGAAAAUGGGAUGCAUCCACCAGGACAGAAGAAUCACAAUGACAGUUCAAGAUGAGGUUUUCCUCCAAAUAAUGACUCAGAAAUCCAGAUGGCUUCUUUCCUGUGGCUCCCCACGCUAAGAUUCCGUGGCGGAGGAAAUGAAUACACAGAGGAUCACGCACCCCAUACCAACAACCUCAGCUUCACUCUUGAAGCCAUGGAGACCACGAACCCACCGGAAGGAAGGAACAACUCCAGACGCGCCGCCUUAAGAGCUGUAACACUCACCGCGAAAGUCUGCAGCUUCACUCCUGAGCCAAGGAGACCACGAACCCACCAGAGGAAAGAAACUCUGAACACAUCCGACCAUCAGAAGGAACAAAUUCCGGAGUGCUGCCUUUAAGAACUGUAACACUCAGCGCGAGCGUCCGCAGCUUCAUUCUUCAAGUCAGUGAGACCAAGAACCCACCAAUUCCGGACACAAUAUUACCUAUUCAUAAAAGUUAUAGCAUAAAAUGCAUUCACUUAAAAUUACAAAUAUACACACUUUUGAUCUAACAAUUUAACCUCUGACAGUUACACCUUAGCUAUCUGACAGGUACACCUUUGCAUGUGCAAAAUGAUGUAUGCAAAAUGAUAUUCAUUACAGCAUUGACUGAGAGAGCAAAAGACUAGAAAUGAUCUAAAUAUCUAUCAAAUAAGUCUGGUGAAAUAAGCUAUGUACCCCUGCACAAUGGAAUAUGUUGUAGCCAUAUAAGAAAUAAUGAAGAAUUUCAUUAAGUAGUGAUAAGGAAUGAUCUCUGAGAUAUAUGGCUAAGCAGAAAAGAGAUGGUAGUAAAAACGGAUGUAUGGUACAGUAUGCCAAAAUGUUUGCAUAAGAAAGGGGAAUACUGGAUAUAUUUGGACUUUAUAUACGUGCAUACAAUGGCUCUGGGGAGAAAAAACAAACACACAAAAAAACAUUGGUUGCUUAUGGUUUCUGCUUUUUCUUCAUAGCAUUGUCAUUAUGUUAAAUUAUUUCACACACUUGAUUUGUUUGCAUGCUUGUUUUCUGUUUCCUCCAUUAGAAUGUAGGCACCAAGGGGGCAAAGUCUAAUCUGAUACGUUUACAUAGGUAUCCCCCUACACCUUGGACAAGUGUGUGGCACAUAAUAGAUGCUCAAUAAAUGGUUGUUGAAUAUUGUUUGACAGAAAUAAAUAAGCCUUUUCUCUGACCAUGAUGUGGCCUUUUAGGGGAUGACAGCAUUGUGAUCACAAACCUUCAAAGGAUCUUCUGUCUUCAAGGCAAAAUGUUUUUAAAAAGCCAAAAAGUAGUCAUAAGAAACUGCUAACAGAAUAACGAGGAAUGUAAAAUGUCAGCCUUCACCUAUUAAUAAUUGUUACAGCAUAUUACGUCUCUGACUGAAUCUUCUACAAACAAGCAAUUAAGGUAAUCUUCAUCACAGGAGGUAGUUUGAAGAAGUCAAAGCCACAACGUAUUUCAAACAGCUGGGGAACAGCAGAAAUACUGGAGGAAAAAGCCAACAUCCUGUGAGCUGGUGUUAUUGUAGAAUUUAAAAAUAACUGUCGAGAUGGAACACAAUCAUUUAUGAGGCACCAAAUUAGAUUCUUGGGUCGCUACAGUUGUUCAGAGGACAGAACGGAGAUUUCUAGAUGUUACCUUGGCAAUGAAGUAAAGCAAUUGCUUGUGGACGUUGUUAGCUUGUGAAGGUGGUCAAGAUUCAAAUUCGCAGGUCAUCAUAGAGGGGAAAAUAAAACUUCCAAAG
rnacentral:lncRNA from 10 species